ensembl:lncRNA
GAGAGAGAGAGAGAGAGAGAGAGAGAGAGAGAGAAAAAGAGAGAGAGAGAGAGGGAGAGCAAAAAAAGAAAGACAAGUGACAUGUAAUACUAUAGGACUCAGACAACAAUAGUAAAAAGCAACAGAUGGUUUACAUUCUAGGAGGGUACAAAUGGUCACAUAGAUCAUUAUUUGCAGUGGAUAUGAGAUGUUGUUUUAAAGGGUGGAACACGAUGUUUGCUUAACUUGAACACACACAUCAGUGAGACAUAAAGGAAAAACUGAGAAAGGAGGAGAAAAAAAAAAAACAACAACAACAAAAAAUAACUCCGUAUAGUACCAGUGAUCUCUGACACAAAAUAACAGGGAUGCGUCAAUACUGACACUGGUGUCAGAUAUCGGUCUGGCUCAUUUACUCAUCCUCGUACAAUGCCAUUCUAAGCAACAUGACACAGAAUGACAGUGAUCUGGAUGCAUCAUUUCCUGAUUAACGAUCGAAGCACAGCGGCCUGGAAACCGUCACUACAGCAUCCUCCUACAACACAAGAACCUUCUCAGCGUGUAUAAGCAGUACCUUUAACAGAGUGCAACAGCGGCCGACGUGAGCACACAGAGCAGAUUCGGUGAGCACGGUCAUUAAAAAUUGGUGCAAGGUACCUUGAAAUGUGUACGUACACACACACACACACACACACACACACACACACACACACAGGUAUUUGAGAAUGUGGAACGGAAAAAAAGAUAUGCAGAGAACCUGGGAUACGUGAGAGAGAGCGCAAUGAAAUUCUGCAGGCACUGAAUACCGAAGCUACGUCCACGUUAAUCUGGAUGAAUUUGAAAACGCACCGAGGCUACAUCCACGUUAAUCCGGAUCAUUUUGAAAACGGGUCAUUGCUCUAUAUUUUGGCCUUCUGUCCACACUGAGACAGCGUUUUUGUCCAGCAAAAACUGAGCUUUUUGAAAAACACUCUCCCAAGUGAAUAAAUUUGAAAACGCCCUUUUCACGUUGUAGUGUGGACUGAGAAAAUUUAAACAAAACAACCCCGAAACUUUGACGUAUUUUUAGUCAUGUGACCUAUUCAGCUCAACACAACCAACAUGGUGGACGAUGUUGUACUGCAGUAAACAAAUGACGCAGAACAGAGUUUCUUAUGUUUUUGAACAUGCGCAGUAUAGAGACAUGGGCGUUUCCAGAAGUUUCAGUGUGCACUAGCAAUUUUUGGAAAACACUCGAAGACGGCAGCGUAGAUGAAUAGCAUUUUAAAAUGAAAAUGCAGUUUUCAGAUGUAUCCGGAUUAACGUGGACGUAGCCUGAGACAUGCACGCUUCAGGUCUCCCCUCAAAGGUAGACUUUUGCUAAUGCUCUGCGUACUCUGGUUUAAAGACACCUGCUCUCUAUUAAAGACUCUGCUACAUAAACAGAGCUAAAUAAAAUGCUCUGACUGAUAUUAAGAAGGUAAUUCAUUGUAGUAUCUGUAUCGAAGGAUACCAAAAAAAAACACAACAAAAAAAAAACCCCAUAGUACACAAUCUGAAAUUUUAUAUUAUAUAAGUAUUGACGCAUCCCUACAAAAUACCUACCAUUAAUUAAUUUUAAUUAAAGAAAAGGAAAAACAGAAAGCCAUGGAGCAUCAAUGGCAUUUUAAUUAAAAACUCAAUUUUUGUCCCAAGUGCCAUGACAUAUAAAAUCAAGAGUUAAAUCUUUAACCCAGAACAAUAUAUUAAAUCAUUUGGAUUUAUUACGGGGAGUGAGUUGAUAUGAAAUAUUUUUUUUUCCUAUAUGUGCAAUUACCAUUAUAAUACAGAACUAUUUACAUUCAUGUCGAUUUUAAUUAACAUGAAACAUCAACCAAGUAAUGGAUGAACCAAUACAAAACAAAGGAUGACAUUCAUGAAAAAAAAAGAAGAGAUACCUCAAAUUAAAGGCAUAGAAGUCUCAUUUUAAAAAAUAUAAGGGUUAAGUUCACAUACAAUGACAUGACAAAUCAAGAUUGCUUCAUUUCGAACAUAGGCACAUAAAUUUAUCCAGAUCUGAGGCUUGGAGAGACCAGAAGUCUACUUGGCAGCCAUCUUGAAAGUGGAGUUCAGGCACCGAAAGCGGCUAAUGCUCUGUAUGUACUUUUGUAAACAAAAUUACUGAAGACUAAAGGGUCUGUGUAUAACCUCAACGCCAGUCCUAUUAAUCCCUUUAACCAAUCUUCAGUCAGCAAUGCAAAAAUACCUCAAAAUCUAUUAUCUUUUCACUCACAUAUCCUGUUAGAAACCCGCACUACCUUCUGGAACGUUCCUCAUUCUUUAAAGAUGACUACAUUUUUUUUCUCUCUUUUAGGCGAGAAGUAUCUUUGGCGUCAACAACUUUCGAUUUUUUUUAUUUUAUUAUUAUUAGUUUACACCCACUAAAAUAAAUUAAAAAUCAAGAAUGUUUUUAAUCACGCAUCUGAUUGUUGAUUUUCUAUGCAAUGACCAAAAAAAAAAAAAAAAAAAAAAAACAACCCUGAAAACAAAUGUGUAAACCUUCCCACCACCACGUCACUCUAACUUAAAAAAAAAAAAAAAAAAAAAAAAAAAAAAAAAAAAUUCCCUUAACCUUGUUCAUUUAGUUGUUCAAACCAGGAAGAAAAACUAAGCAAAAGAUGAUUUUAGUCUCGGGUCCAGAGCGGUCCCGUAUUCUAAACCCGUCAGUGUACUGACCGAUUCAAGGCUGCAGGCGCCUAUGGCACAUCAAACCAACAUCCUAGGUGCGGGUUCAUGUAUAAGAAUGAGCGUUUUCAAGUGAUGGAUAUAUAAUAGUAUACAUGUGAUGUGAACAUCCAAAUAAUAAUAGUAAUAAUAAUAAUAAAAAAAAAAAACACACACAAAAAACAAACCAAACUGUGUUUUGUUACAGUCGUUUUUGUAAAGCUGAGAAGAAAAUUUUCAGGCGAUUCUCUGCGGCGUGACUCUGCGGCUAGCGCUGCUUGGGCUGAAGUCUCGGGCCGCUCUGACGGAUGAGGCUGCGUGGCCUGCUUGUAUUUUUAGGGCCAAAGCGGUGAGAGAUGACCUGCUUUCAGUAUGAUCGAUUGUCUCGCCCAAGGUGCGCUUGAAAAAGAGGGGCAUAAAUAAAAGGAGGGAAGAGCGACUUUGCUUGAGGGAAACGAUGGCAAAUUUGGCACGCGGCACCGCUGCCCUGUUUUCAGCGCUGGAGCGGCUUCAAGUAAGGGGGGGG